rnacentral:sRNA from 1 species
AGUCCACUAUGAUAAAUAGUUAAGCCCAUACGGACAGGCGGGACUGCUGCCGG